ACCUAAUUGAAUAUAGGAAAAGAACCCCAUAGGGCUAGUCAGUGCUCCAUAUUGUUCAGGACAGAGCUUUGCAGAUUUAAGUUAGUGUAUCAUAAGGCUAAAAGCUAUGUCUGAUUUUGAUAUUUAUCAUGAAUAAUAGAUAUUAUUUUGACUUGAUGCAAGUUGAAGUGAAAAGAAAAUACAAUACAAUAAUCCCAUAACAAUGAAAUACCUUUUUCUUAUUUAUUUAUUUUUUUUAAUGCAGGGCUAAACAUAAACAUGCUAAUGUCAAAUGUAAAUCAUGUAAAACUGGUAGUGGUGCAGCUCCUCCUCCCAUCCCUGAAGCAAGUGCCAAUAAGGUGCUCACCAUUCCAGGCACAUAAACUGAUGACCUUGGCUGUGAUUUUGACAGUGAUGCUGUCAGAUCUGUCCAGAGAAAAGAAGCAGUGCAUCCUGUAACUUCAUAUAAGGAGAUCAUACCACAGGAAGAGUAGGUGCUAGCUACAUGUGGGUACUCCAGUAUCUGGAUGCACCACCUCCAAAUCCUUGGAGAUGCCAACAUCUUUACCCAAAGUCCUGAUAAGGCCUGGCAUCCAGGGGGCAGUAAACGACACUACUCGGCUUGAGGCCAUAACAUGCCGUUGGACAGUGGGAGGAUUCGUCACAGAGAGUGGAUGUGCAUUUACACAAUUUACACAUGACCCUGUUCAGUGGCAAGACCACCAAAUGAACAACCCAUACACCCAAGUGCCACCAACAGCACUGUGAUGGCACCCACUGUCACCAGCACAACAGAUGGCAAAAGUUGGCAUAUUAUCAGAUAACAUAUUUUUUACUUUAAAAGAAAAGUUGCAGUUAAAGUGAUGUAAUGCUACAUAGAUAAUGAAGAAAAUUUGUACAAUCUCCUUUUCAUAUAUCCCUCUCUACAUCCUCCAGCCAGAGAGGAGGAAAAUCUAAUACAAUAAUAAUGAUAAUUAACAACAACUAGCCAUAACAAAAGCCUUCCAAUUUAGUUUUAUUGACAGAAUAAAAUGCUUUUGUCUUCAGUGUUCUGCUGUCCACCACACUAUAGCAUGUCGCCACUGUUGUGGUGGGUCACAAGGCACAGCCAGUCAUCUGCCACACUACUCGUGCAGGCUUUCUAACUCACCCUGCCAACAUACAUUUUCUUCCUUGAUAUUAACAUGCACAUGCAUUUUCAUUAAUCUCACAAUAAGAUUUAAUUCUUCAAAAUUUUGUUACAGGUCACAGGAUAUUUAAAACCAGUCAGCUGUGACGCUGCUCACACAUGUUCACCUACCUCCUCAGUCAUUCAUCCUGCCAACAUAAAUAAAACUCUUAACAUUAACAUUCAUGUACAUUUUUAUUAAUC